rnacentral:rRNA from 1 species
CCUACGGGAUGCAGCAGUGAGGAAUAUUGGUCAAUGGACGCAAGUCUGAACCAGCCAUGCCGCGUGCAGGAAGACGGCUCUAUGAGUUGUAAACUGCUUUUGUACGAGGGUAAAUCCCGAUACGUGUAUCUGGUUGAAAGUAUCGUACGAGUAAGCAUCGGCUCACUCCGUGUCAGCAGCCGCGGUAUUACGGAGGAUUCGAGCGUUAUCCGGAUUUAUUGGGUUUAAAGGGGGCGUAGGCGGUUCUUUAAGUUAGAGGUGAAAUCCCGGGGCUCAACUCCGGCAUUGCAGCUGAUACUGGAGGGCUUGAGUUGACUUGCGGUAGGCGGAAUGUAUGGUGUAGCGGUGAAAUGCAUAGAGAUCAUGAAGAACACCGAUUGCGAAGGCAGCUGACCGAACUACGACUGACGUUGAGGCACGAAAGUGUGGGUAGCAAACAGGAUUAGAUACCCUAGUAGUC